GACGAACGCUGGCGGCGUGCUUAACACAUGCCAGUCGAACGGAAAGGCCCUGCUUGCAGGGUACUCGAGUGGCGAACGGGUGAGUAACACGUGGGUGAUCUGCCCUGCACUUCGGGAUAAGCUUGGGAAACUGGGUCUAAUACCGGAUAGGACCGCACUUUAGUGUGUGUGGUGGAAAGUUUUUUCGGUGUAGGAUGAGCUCGCGGCCUAUCAGCUUGUUGGUGGGGUAAUGGCCUACCAAGGCGGCGACGGGUAGCCGGCCUGAGAGGGUGUACGGCCACAUUGGGACUGAGAUACGGCCCAGACUCCUACGGGAGGCAGCAGUGGGGAAUAUUGCACAAUGGGCGCAAGCCUGAUGCAGCGACGCCGCGUGGGGGAUGAAGGCCUUCGGGUUGUAAACUCCUAUCGCUAGGGACGAAGCUUUUUGUGACGGUACCUAGAUAAGAAGCACCGGCUAACUACGUG
rnacentral:rRNA from 1 species